rnacentral:rRNA from 1 species
GAAAGGGGGAUCGAUUUAGCCAUGCUAGUUGCACGAGUUCAGACUCGUAGCAGAUAGCUCAGUAACACGUUAGCCAAACUACCCUAUGGAUCCGAAUAACCUCGGGAAACUGAGGCUAAUUCGGAAUACGAUUCACCACCUGGAGUGGUGUGAGCCCGAAACGCUCCGGCGCCAUAGGAUGUGGCUGCGGCCGAUUAGGUAGACGGUGGGGUAACGGCCCACCGUGCCCAUAAUCGGUACGGGUUGUGAGAGCAAGAGCCCGGAGACGGUAUCUGAGACAAGAUACCGGGCCCUACGGGGCGCAGCAGGCGCGAAACCUUUACACUGCACGAAAGUGCGAUAAGGGGACUCCAAGUGCGAGGGCAUAUAGUCCUCGCUUUUUGCGACCGUAAGGUGGUCGCGGAAUAAGUGCUGGGCAAGACCGGUGCCAGCCGCCGCGGUAAUACCGGCAGCACGAGUGAUGACCGCUAUUAUUGGGCCUAAAGCGUCCGUAGCUGGCCAUGCAAGUCCAUCGGGAAAUCCGCGCGCUUAACGCGCGGGCGUCCGGUGGAAACUGCAUGGCUUGGGACCGGAAGACCAGAGGGGUACGUCCGGGGUAGGAGUGAAAUCCCGUAAUCCUGGACGGACCACCGGUGGCGAAAGCGCCUCUGGAAGACGGAUCCGACGGUGAGGGACGAAAGCUCGGGUCACGAACCGGAUU